UAUCAUUCAUAUCUCUGGUUCUGUGUCCUCAGAUGGAAAGAGCAGUUUCCAGUGUGUGCAUGUUAAUAGUUAAUCCUGCGGCAGAAGUUCUGCAGUUCUCAACUCACCUGUGAUGAUCACCGUUUUCCCGUGUAACUUUGCACUACUCUUACAUCUGGGACUCUUUACGACAUGGAGAAAAUAAAUUGCUCCACCCAGCAGCAGCAGUACCAGUAGCAUUAGCAGCAGCAGCAGCAGCAGCAGCAUCCUGACUGUAAAACGUAAAACUACAGACGCUGAGUGGAAGAGGUGAAAUGUUGAUGGUGGGUUGCAGUGCUGGUCGCAGAUUCGUCAUUUUCACAAAGCGCAUGUGUGUGAAGUGCGGUGAUCUACUGAAGGUCUCGCUGAAAUAAAAAUCCUACAAAAACCC